GCGCUCUUAGUUCAGUUCGGUAGAAC
rnacentral:tRNA from 10 species